AUUGAACGCUGGCGGCAGGCCUAACACAUGCAAGUCGAACGGUAACAGGAAGCAGCUUGCUGCUUCGCUGACGAGUGGCGGACGGGUGAGUAAUGUCUGGGAAGCUGCCUGAUGGAGGGGGAUAACUACUGGAAACGGUAGCUAAUACCGCAUAAUGUCGCAAGACCAAAGAGGGGGACCUUCGGGCCUCUUGCCAUCGGAUGUGCCCAGAUGGGAUUAGCUUGUUGGUGGGGUAACGGCUCACCAAGGCGACGAUCCCUAGCUGGUCCGAGAGGAUGACCAGCCACACUGGGACUGAGACACGGUCCAGACUCCUACGGGAGGCAGCAGUGGGGAAUAUUGCACAAUGGGCGCAAGCCUGAUGCAGCCAUGCCGCGUGUAUGAAGAAGGCCUUCGGGUUGUAAAGUACUUUCAGCGGGGAGGAAGGGAGUAAAGUUAAUACCUUUGCUCAUUGACGUUACCCGCAGAAGAAGCACCGGCUAACUCCGUG
rnacentral:rRNA from 1 species